GGUCAUUUCCGGUUAUUUUCUGCCACAAGGUACGAAGGCAAACAAGCGUCUAAGAGAAGCAACUACUAAAUCAAAAGUAUGAGGUAGCAGUCUCCUCCAUAGAAGUGACCCAACCACUUCCUCUCUACAGAUCUCAGGUUUUCAACAAUGUUUGGUUGUUGUUUCUGACCUCAGCUUCGCCUGAUCCAUCAUCCACCAUUUUCUGCUGAGCUGCCAGGCUGUUGGUGGUUCCCAUCCCUGUAAUCUGUCCCUUCACCACCCACUUUUGAAACAACUGGCGAAAAAUUGAAGACUCUGAACCAUCAUUCA